rnacentral:rRNA from 1 species
GACGAACGCUGGCGGCGUGCUUAACACAUGCAAGUCGAGCGGUAAGGCCCUUUCGGGGGUACACGAGCGGCGAACGGGUGAGUAACACGUGGGUGACCUGCCCUCAGCUCUGGGAUAAGCCUGGGAAACCGGGUCUAAUACCGGAUAUGACUCCAUGACGCAUGUUGUGGGGUGGAAAGCCUUGUGCGGCUGAGGAUGGGCCCGCGGCCUAUCAGCUUGUUGGUGGGGUGAUGGCCUACCAAGGCGACGACGGGUAGCCGGCCUGAGAGGGCGACCGGGCCACACUGGGACUGAGACACGGCCCAGACUCCUACGGGAGGCAGCAGUGGGGAAUCUUGCGCAAUGGGCGAAAGCCUGACGCAGCGACGCCGCGUGAGGGAUGAC